UAUUGUUCUGGGUUCCCUGUUGUAACUUAAAGGGAAACUUUCACAAUAUCCAGAGCCCUUGACGUCCUUCAAACAAAGGAAGAGGAUGUCCUCAAAUUUUUGUAGCAGGAUCCCAUUUGGGUGGCACCAGCCUUGACUUCCAAACGGAACACUACAUCUACAGAAGGAAAAGUGGUGGCAUCUACAGCAUUAAUUAAAGAGAACCUGGGAGAAGCUGCCACUAGCAGCUUGUGCCAUUGUUAGCUGAAAACUCAGCUGGUGUCUGUGUAUAACAUCCUCCAGGAAUACCGGCCAGGGAGUUACGCUGACGUUUUCUGCCCCUGGAGCCCCUGGAGCCCCUGGAGCCACUCCCAUUGCUGGCUGCUUCACUUCCCCGCGCCUUCGCUAAUCAGAUCCAGGCAGCCUUGCGAGAGCCGAGACUUCCGACGGUUACCGAGUCCAGGGCUGACCACCAGCCUCUCACAGAGGAGUCUUAUGUUAACUGCCUACCAUUGCUCUAUGUGACACAGACCCUCCUCUGUGCCAUGUGGACAGUACCAUCUCAUGCAGCAACAAAGGCGUUCACUCGGCGAAUCUGACCGCGGGACGCGGGCCCCGGCAAGUUCUGCGCAUGCGCGGCACCACCUUCCAUGAGAAGCCACGGGAGGUCAUGCCUGGUGUCUACUGCAGAGUUAAUGGAAGAAGCGAAAAAGAAGAGCACCUCUGCUGAAAAGGCUGUGACCAAGGGGAAUUUGACGGUGAAUGGACCACUCCAGCUCCUGAGUUUUCUGCUACUGAAUUUGCGGUUGCCUGCUGUGUGUAAAGGAGCUCAGGUGUCCUCCCUGCCUCUUCAGCAAGUUCCCUGAGCAAGAGCGGAGCACGCAACCCGCCCUCGAAGACGGGUCUGUAGCUCCCACAGUUCAGGCCACUGAAUGGGUAAGAGCAACCACUGGGUGGUCUUAAACUGUUUCUCCAUGGACUCUAGAACAGAAAAUGGAAAUAAGGGUGAUGAAAAAUAAGCAGUAUCUUUUUUUUUUUUAAGAUUUAUUUAUUUAUUUAUUAGAGAGAGAGCAUGAGAGGGGGGAGGGUCAGAGGGAGAAGCAGGCUCCCCGCCGAGCAAGGAGCCCGAUGCGGGACUCGAUCCGGGACUCCAGGAUCAUGACCUGAGCCGAAGGCAGUCGCUUAACCAACUGAGCCACCCAGGCGCCCAAUAAGCAGUAUCUUUAAAGAAAAAAAAAGGGAUUCAACAAAAGCAAGUGUUAUGGACAAAAUGUAUCCCCCUCAAUAUGAAGCAGAAUGUGCCCCACUUCAUAUGUUGAAACCCUGUGUCUCUGAUGUGACUGUAUUUGGAGACAGUGCCUGUAGGGAGGUAAUUAAGGUUAAAUGAAGUCAUAAGGGUGGAGCCCUGGUCCCAUAGGACUGAUAUCCUUAUAAGAAGACUGAAGAGACACCAGAAUUCACAUUCCCUUCCCACAAGAGCAAAGAGAAGAGGCCAUCUGUAAGCCAAGAGGAGAACCCUCACCAGAAACCAGCCCUGAGGACAUUUGAUCUUGGACUUUGACCUCCAGAACUCAUGCUUUGAUUGAGAUAGUGCAAUCAACAGUGUGAGAAUGGCAUAAAAGCUCACAGUACAUUACGAGGCUAUUACUGGUUUGGAGAAAGCUUGGUGUCCAGGAGGUCAUAAGCCCCCCAGGGAUGACAGAUAGAUGGUCACUUCAUGAUGUCAUGUGGAAUACCACUAUCUUCAAUGUCUUAUCAGAUGCUCAAGUGGAUUUUUAUAGAGUUAAAAACAUUACAAUAAAAUGGAUGGGAUGGCGAAGACUAUCCUUCCAUGUUAAAAUGAAACGGAAGGCUGCAAGUUAACCGGAGAUAAGAAUUUACAGUGAGAACAAAAGAAGGCAUAAAAAGAGUCCCGAGUAACAUUUAAAUGUUGCAUAGAAGAGAAGCAGAAAAAAUGUGAUACAGUGGCCAAAGGAAGAAAAGAGGAAAGCCAGGAGGAUUUGGUUUCACUGAAGCCAAGGUAAGAGGAUUUCUAGGAAAGAGAAACCAACUAUAUGGAAAGUUCAUGGGAUGUUACUUUUCAAGUGAGUCACUAAGAAGGUCCAUUAGAAUUGACAAAAUUGUGGUUAACUGGUGAUUUUUUAGCAUAAAUUCAGUAGAGUGAUAGAAAUAUUGGUGAGAGUGAAAAGUUGUUUAGAAGGGCACCUGGGUGGCUCAGUUGGUUAAGCGACUGCCUUCAGCUCAGGUCAUGAUCCUGGAGUCCCGGGAUCGAGUCCCGCAUCGGGCUCCCUGCUCGGCAGGGAGUCUGCUUCUCCCUCUGAUCCUCCCCCUCUCAUGCUCUCUCUCUCUGUCUCAUUCUCUCUCUCAAAUAAAUAAAAUCUUUAAAAAAAAAAAGUUGUUUAGAAGGACACUGUGACUUCUCAAGUUCUCUUUAGACAUUUUAAAGUCUUAAAAAAUAUUUAGUUAAAGCUUAGUAUAUCCAGGGGUCAUGGUGAAGAUUUGGUUUAAAAUAAGAAGUGAUAACACUUACAUCUGAAUUUUUUCCCUUUUGAAAUGAAAGAUACCGAGUUUUUACUGUGCCUUCAUUUUAAAUACACAAACAUUAACAUAUGGAAAUAUGAUGGCUAGUAUCCCGAAUGAAAUGCUUAUAAAAAAACAGACAAAAAGCUGCACUUAAAAAAAUAUUUAACCAAAAAAUUUUGCUUCCUUUGCAUUUUGCUAGUGAAAUGUCUGCUUUGCUGGAUGCCACUGAAUGUAGCACAGUAGAUACAAAUUUAACCUAAAAGUGACAGAGUCAUAUAUUUUAAUAUGAUAGAAAAACAUCUUACUAUUUAUUAACCCUCUACUUUAUGCAAGACUCUUUGCCUUUAAUUAUCUAACUUUAUUUAUGUAAUAAUCCAAUAAAUGGAAAAUUAUAUGUAUUGAUGAAUGGAAUUAGAAGAAAAUUAAAUGAAAUUGUUUUUGAAUUUGGAAAGACCAUUGCAUAACACUUUGAUUUGUAAGCCAACAAUGGAAGAACCCAUUCCUAUUAGGGUCUGGAAGCAUUCAGGUCACGUUGCUUUCAGGAUCAUUUGAGAUACUUCUAUUUGAAUAGUCUUGGCUUAUGUUAAAAGUCUUUAUUCUUGCUUUGUGUACAUUAGAGGGAUGCUUAGCAACCUUGUGGUUGUAAUAUUUCUGAAGCUCUUGGGUCACUUUCAGUGAAUAUCAAUUCAAACAGCAUGGGUCUUGAAAAGGUUGAUUUACAGCUUUGCAUUUAGAACAAGAACAACACAUGUCUUCCUGGGCUCAGGGAAGUCAUCUUAAUCUCUUCUGUCUCUGUUUUUCUUACCAUGUCUCCUCCUGCACUAUCUAGAUCCUGGAUCAAAGGUAAGCAGACCCAGAGUCCUUAAAUACUGUAUCCUUCUCACUGGUCGGAAAGAGGCCUGCAUCCUAUUCUAUUUGGAGCAUACCUGGAGACGUUUUUAUCUAGUCCUUUCAGCUGAGUCAGAGGGGUUAAAGAGCCCGUCUUUUAUUCAGGGCCCUCACUUAACCACCAUCAACUCGGGCUUUACUACAGCAUAUAAUAAACAGAAAGACUUGGAAAAAAAGAGAGAGACACUGCCAAAAUUGUGUUUGACUCACUCAGAAACAGAUUUUUUACUCACAGCAUGGUUGGAAGAAAAAAAAAAGUGCUAACAGUGUUAGACCAGCUAAAACCAUUGUCCAGAAACCUCUAAAUCUCUAUUUAAACCCAGGCUAAGGGGAAGGAAUGGUGGUAGAGCUGAAGCAGCAAUGAGAUAACGAAAGGCCAGAUUUGUCAUGACCUUUGUGUGAUCUUGGACAAAUCACCUCUCUGUUUUGAGGUUCCCGAAUCAAUAAAAUGAGAAGAUUCUAUUAAAUGACUCCAAAGGAUCCAUUGAGCUCUUAGAUUCAAAUAUUCAUUUCUACACUCUAGACAAAGCUUGGAGGUGAACUCUGAAUAUCUAGUUGGUGAGAAUAUUACUCAUAAUAAUUUUAAUGACUCGUUGUUGUAGGCCUGAAGAAUGGGUUUUCAAAAACAGCUCUCCAAGGUAUUUCAAUAUAGCACCAUACUCAUGACUCAAUCUUUCUUUAUUGAAUGUUUGCACAGAUAGGCAGAAAGAUAGAAUAAUUUCUUUUACCUUCUGGAAUGUAAUAGUUUCAAUUACUUGCCACAUAUCUCAUGCUUUUAAAAGGAGAAGGACAUUUACUUCCCUUCCCCAAAUGCCAUUUACUUUUCUGUCAAAUGUCAUUGAAUUUUAAUAGUAGAAAGUAAAGGAAGAUACUCCUUUUUUAAAUGUUAAGCUUUUAGGAUUAAACAGCAAAUAAAUGAUUAAGUAAAAAUAGGUUUUGAAAAGCUUUAUUAAGUACCAAUGUGAAACAAAAGAAAAUUUUUUAUGAAAUACAAGAUGGAUGGAUUUAUUUGCAAUAUGCCUAUGUAAGACACAGUAACUUAUGUAAGUCUCAAUGGGGCUAGAGUAAAAAUGUGUACAAUGUGAUUUUUUAAAAAGAAAAGUCUAAAUGCAUGUAAUUGGUUCAUGAAAUUUACUCAGAUAUGUAUGUGUGCAGCCUACACAUUAGUGAAGUAUUCCUUUUUUGGGCAUUUUAAAAGAUGAUGGUCUGAUAAUCUCCCAUUUGCAGCAACACAGAUGGACCUUGAGCACAUUAUGCUGAAAGAUAAGUUAGACAGAGAAAAACAAGAACUGUAUGACAUCACUUAUAUGUGGAAUCUAAAAGAGUUAAACCUGUAAAAAGCAGAGUAAAACUGUGGCUACCAGGGGAUGUGGUAGGGGGAUAAGAGUGAUAGUGUUUAAGGUACAAACUUGUAACAAGUAGUAAAUAAGCCAUAGAGAUCUAACACACAGUAUAACAAAUAUAGAUAAGAAUAUUGUACUAUAGUUAUAUAAUGUGAUAAAUAUUGCUAUAUCAGCAAUCAUAUUACAAUAUAUAAAUGUAUCAAAGCAACAUGUUGUACAUCUUAAAUUUACCCAAUGUUAAAUGUCAGAUGUGUUCAAUGAAAAACAAUGAUGGGCUGUAGCUUUUGAAAUAUGUUACAGUUGCUUCAUAACAUUCUCUGGUGAAAAGCCAUUGUCUUGAGAGCUCUCCUGCUGUGUUGUUAAUAAUA